rnacentral:rRNA from 1 species
GCUUAGGUGUGGGUCUUUCCACGGACUCCGUGCCGUACGUAACGCAUUAAGCGCCCGCCUGGGGAGUACGGCCGCAAGGCUAAAACUCAAAGGAAUUGACGGGGGCCGCACAAGCGGCGGAGCAUGUUGCUUAAUUCGACGCAACGCGAAGAACCUUACCAAGGUUUGACAUCACCGGAAAACUCGCAGAGAUGCGGGGUCCUUUUGGGCCGGUGACAGGUGGUGCAUGGCUGUCGUCAGCUCGUGUCGUGAGAUGUUGGGUUAAGUCCCGCAACGAGCGCAACCCUAA